rnacentral:rRNA from 1 species
GAUGAACGCUAGCGGCAGGCCUAACACAUGCAAGUCGAGGGAGAGGUUACCUUCGGGUAACCAAAACCGGCGCACGGGUGCGUAACGCAUAAACAAUCGGCCUUUCACAUAGGGAUGGCCCAAAGAAUUUGGGAUUAUCCUUAGGGGUUUUUAAGAGGGCCACUGUUUUUUUUAUUAAGUUUCCGGGGGUAAAAAAGAAAAAUC